CAAAAUAUAGUUUAAAUAAAACAUUAGUUUUGGAAAUUAAUAAUAUAUAAUACUA
rnacentral:tRNA from 1 species